AGCCCGGUAGUGUAGCGGUCAAUCAUGGGAGACUCUGGAUCUCUCGACAGCAGUUCGAAUCUGCUCCGGGCUA
rfam:Methanolinea sp. SDB scaffold-11399, whole genome shotgun sequence.